GACGAACGCUGGCGGCGUGCUUAACACAUGCAAGUCGAACGGAAAGGCCCCCUUGUGGGGUACUCGAGUGGCGAACGGGUGAGUAACACGUGAGUAACCUACCCUUGACUUUGGGAUAACUUCAGGAAACUGGGGCUAAUACCGGAUAGGAGCUCCUGCUGCAUGGUGGGGGUUGGAAAGUUUCGGCGGUUGGGGAUGGACUCGCGGCUUAUCAGCUUGUUGGUGGGGUAAUGGCUCACCAAGGCUUUGACGGGUAGCCGGCCUGAGAGGGUGACCGGCCACAUUGGGACUGAGAUACGGCCCAGACUCCUACGGGAGGCAGCAGUGGGGAAUAUUGCACAAUGGGCGGAAGCCUGAUGCAGCAACGCCGCGUGCGGGAUGACGGCCUUCGGGUUGUAAACCGCUUUCGCCUGUGACGAAGCGUGAGUGACGGUAAUGGGUAAAGAAGCACCGGCUAACUACGUG
rnacentral:rRNA from 1 species